rnacentral:rRNA from 1 species
GAUUGGAGCGGCCGAUAUCGGAUUAGCUAGUUGGUGAGGUAAAGGCUCACCAAGGCGACGAUCCGUAGCUGGUCUGAGAGGACGACCAGCCACACUGGAACUGAGACACGGUCCAGACUCCUACGGGAGGCAGCAGUGGGGAAUUUUGGACAAUGGGGGCAACCCUGAUCCAGCCAUUCCGCGUGAGUGAAGAAGGCCUUCGGGUUGUAAAGCUCUUUCAGCAGGAACGAAACGGU